UUAGACAGCCGAUUACUCCAGUCGGGUGCUGGUUCAACAUCACUAUCCGCCAUCCUCACUCCCCGCCACCGCGCGUAUGCAGCCUGUCAUGUGAUCGGCGUGCACUCACCACUGCUCCAGGAAGUGGCAGAGAAAGCACUGGGUGCAGAGGGCCUCUUUCUCUUCUCCUCCUUGGACAAAGACCAUGACCCUUUCCUCAGUUCAAACCAUCACAGAGAAACUCACAGGGAUCACACAUCCAGUGGAUUUUGAGGAGCAAGUGACCGAUGACCCUAAUGGAGAGACCCUAACCCUGGAGUCCAAGAUGCAACCUCUGCAGCUUGACAAAAUGAUGAAGAGUAGACCCAGCAAAACACUCGCAUAAUUACUGGGUUUUGCCUUACUGUGAUUUAAGCUAAAGUUAUUUGUAAUCCAGCUCAAGAAUAGAUUACAUCCUACCUUGUAAACGUUUUACUGCUGUCUAUGACUGGGUUAUAAAGUAUGAAAUUACUUAUGGUGAUAAAUGACAAAAAAGAGAAUAAGGUUCAAAUAGGCAUUCCAACAGUUAGCAGAGAAAGCCUCAGAUGGUUUCACCUGUCUCUGUGCUUGUCUCCACCCGCCACCAGGUGUCUCCCAUCUCUCCGUGUUCUCUGUCUGUUGCCAGUUUGUUUUGUUUGUUUGUCAAGCCUACCACCAUUUUUCCCCUUGCGCCUGUAUGUUUCUAGUUCCUGUUUUUGACCAUUCUGCCUGCCCUGGAUACUGACCUCUGUCUGCCCUUGACCUGUCGUUUUGCCUGCCCCCUGUUCUAGUUACCCAUAGUUCCCUGAGUGGGCUGAGAUCCUGGUAGCAUUCUGCUGUGACCUCCACAUCCUUCUCUGCCAGCCAGUUCAGGGACUUCCUGCCCCCCAAAAAACACAGGGGAGCUGGGAUACACCUGGUUGGUCAUUCAGAGUGAGCUCAACAUAUUCACUGGGUACCUGCCAAACAAUCGCUACCACCCUUCUGCACCACGAGGAAAAAAGGUUCUCAUUCACUCCCUGCUGAGUAUGUUCCACCCACGGCCUUUCAAGUCCCGCUUCGCCGCUCCGUGGCCUGCAUUCGGGCCGCCAGAGACUUCUAUCUGGACAUAGUCUUCAGGUGAGGAAACUCUGGGAUUCCUCAUCAAGCCUAGUCCAGUGAGUUUAAAACUUGUUUCCAUGUUAUUACCCCUGUAACAGCUGCAGAUCCCAGCCUAUGGAAUAAAAGUUCUUACCUUCUAAACUCCUCUGUGGUAAUAAUGUGCUCCAUACGGUCAAAAACAAGUUUAAUUUAAGAACACGAGUGGGGCUUUUAAUAUUAAAUCUAAUUUGUGCCAACAAAAAAAUUAUCCACAGGCCUAAUGAACACAUGCUCAAACUCGAGCAGUUUUGAUAGACACAAAGGGGAAAUUUGUAGUUGGUAGAUCCAUAUUUUUGAUUUUUUGUACUUACCAACAUUUUCGUGAUAUCCAUAGUUAGUUAGUCUUGUCCCAUCGCUGCAACUCCCGUAGGGACUAGGGAGAGGCGAAGGUCGAGGGACAUGUAUCCUCCAAAACACAACCCCGCCAAGCCGCACUGCUUCUUGACACACUGCUCGCUCAACCUGGAAGCCAGCCACACGAAUGUGUUGGUGGAAACGCAGUAUAGCUGGCAACCGAAAUCAGCGUGCAUGUGCCCGGCCGUCACAAGGAGUCGCUAGAGCGCGAUUGGACAAGGACAUCCCAGCCAGCCAAACCUUCCCCUAACUUGGACGACCCUGUGCCAAUAGUGCACCGCCUCUGGAUCAAACCUGGAUCUGUACUGACACCUCUAGUGCUUUAGACCGCUGUGCCACUUGGGAGGACACUACAUCCAUUUUUGUUACUUGUAAAUUAAUUAUAUAUAUAUACCUAUUGAAGAAUAAAA